UGCCAGCCGCCGCGGUAAUACGGAGGGUGCAAGCGUUGUUCGGAAUUAUUGGGCGUAAAGCGCGUGUAGGCGGUUCGUUAAGUCUGAUGUGAAAGCCCGGGGCUCAACCCCGGAAGUGCAUUGGAAACUGGCGAACUUGAGUGCAGGAGGGGCAAGGGGAAUUGGCAGUGUAGCGGUGAAAUGCGUAGAUAUUGCCAGGAACACCGGUGGCGAAGGCGCCUUGCUGGCCUGAUACUGACGCUGAUGCGCGAAAGCGUGGGGAGCAAACAGGAUUAGAUA
rnacentral:rRNA from 1 species